GACGAACGCUGGCGGCGUGCUUAACACAUGCAAGUCGAACGGUGAAGCCCCUUCGGGGGUGGAUCAGUGGCGAACGGGUGAGUAACACGUGAGCAACCUGCCCCUGACUCUGGGAUAACUUCGGGAAACCGGAGCUAAUACUGGAUAUGACGCUCUCACGCAUGUGGGGGUGUGGAAAGUUUUUCGGUUGGGGAUGGGCUCGCGGCCUAUCAGCUUGUUGGUGGGGUGAUGGCCUACCAAGGCGACGACGGGUAGCCGGCCUGAGAGGGCGACCGGCCACACUGGGACUGAGACACGGCCCAGACUCCUACGGGAGGCAGCAGUGGGGAAUAUUGCGCAAUGGGCGAAAGCCUGACGCAGCGACGCCGCGUGAGGGAUGAAGGCCUUCGGGUUGUAAACCUCUUUCAGCGCCGAAGAAGCGUAAGUGACGGUAGGCGCAGAAGAAGCACCGGCUAACUACGUGCCAGCCGCCGCGGUAAAAC
rnacentral:rRNA from 1 species